rnacentral:rRNA from 1 species
AUGGAGGUGGGGACGUGGGCGGUGGUGGCGUCGGCGGUGGCCGCGUACAUGGCGUGGUUCUGGCGGAUGUCGCGCGGGCUGCGCGGGCCGCGGGUGUGGCCCGUGCUCGGCAGCCUGCCCGGCCUGGUGCAGCACGCCGAGGACAUGCACGAGUGGAUCGCCGGCAACCUGCGCCGCGCGGGCGGCACCUACCAGACCUGCAUCUUCGCGGUGCCCGGGGUGGCGCGCCGCGGCGGGCUGGUCACCGUCACCUGCGACCCGCGCAACCUGGAGCACGUCCUCAAGGCGCGCUUCGACAACUACCCCAAGGGCCCCUUCUGGCACGGCGUCUUCCGGGACCUGCUCGGCGACGGCAUCUUCAACUCCGACGGCGACACCUGGCUCGCGCAGCGCAAGACGGCCGCGCUCGAGUUCACCACCCGCACGCUCCGGACCGCCAUGUCCCGCUGGGUCUCGCGCUCCAUCCACGGCCGCCUCCUGCCCAUCCUGGCCGACGCGGCCAAGGGCAAGGCGCAGGUGGAUCUCCAGGACCUCCUCCUCCGCCUCACCUUCGACAACAUCUGCGGCCUGGCGUUCGGCAAGGACCCGGAGACGCUCGCCCAGGGCCUGCCGGAGAACGAGUUCGCCUCCGCGUUCGACCGCGCCACCGAGGCCACGCUCAACCGCUUCAUCUUCCCGGAGUGCCUGUGGCGCUGCAAGAAGUGGCUGGGCCUCGGCAUGGAGACCACGCUGACCAGCAGCAUGGCCCACGUCGACCAGUACCUCGCCGCCGUCAUCAAGAAGCGCAAGCUCGAGCUCGCCGCCGGCAACGGCAAAUGCGACACGGCGGCGACGCACGACGACCUGCUCUCCCGGUUCAUGCGGAAGGGAUCCUACUCGGACGAGUCGCUGCAGCACGUGGCGCUCAACUUCAUCCUCGCCGGCCGCGACACCUCCUCCGUGGCGCUCUCCUGGUUCUUCUGGCUCGUGUCCACCCACCCUGCGGUGGAGCGCAAGAUCGUGCGCGAGCUCUGCUCCGUUCUCGCCGCGUCACGCGGCGUCCACGACCCGACAUUGUGGCUGGCGGAGCCCUUCACCUUCGAGGAGCUCGACCGCCUGGUCUACCUCAAGGCGGCGCUGUCGGAGACCCUCCGCCUCUACCCCUCCGUCCCCGAGGACUCCAAGCACGUGGUCGCGGACGACUACCUCCCCGACGGCACUUUCGUGCCGGCCGGGUCGUCGGUCACCUACUCCAUAUACUCGGCGGGGCGCAUGAAGGCGGUGUGGGGGGAGGACUGCCUCGAGUUCCGGCCGGAGCGAUGGCUGUCGGCCGACGGCACCAAGUUCGAGCAGCAUGACUCGUACAAGUUCGUGGCGUUCAACGCCGGGCCGAGGGUGUGCCUGGGCAAGGACCUAGCCUACCUGCAGAUGAAGAACAUCGCCGGGAGCGUGCUGCUCCGGCACCGCCUGACCGUGGCGCCGGGCCACCGCGUGGAGCAGAAGAUGUCGCUCACGCUCUUCAUGAAGGACGGGCUACGGAUGGAGGUACGUCCGCGCGACCUCGCCCCCGUCCUCGACGAGCCCUGCGGCCUGGACGCCGGCGCCGCCGCCACCGCCGCCGCAGCGAGUGCCACAGCGCCAUGCGCGUAG